AUUGAACGCUAGCGGCAUGCCUAACACAUGCAAGUCGAGCGAGCGGCGGACGGGUGAGUAAUGUAUAGGUACUACCAGCGAGAGGGAGAUAACUACUGGAGACGGUAACUAAUACCGCAUACUAUCGGAUAACCCAUAUGGGAUUAGCUAGUAGGUGAGGUAAUGGCUCACCAAGGCGACGAUCCCUAGCUGGUCUGAAAGGAUGAUCAGCCACACUGGGACUGAGACACGGUCCAGACUCCUACGGAGGCAGCAGUGGGGAAUAUUGCACAAUGGGCGCAAGCCUGAUGCAGCCAUGCCGCGUGUAUGAAGAAGGCCCUAGGGUUGUAAAGUACUUUCAGUAGGGAGGCGUUACCUACAGAAGAAGCACCGGCUAACUCCGUGCCAGCAGCCGCGGUAAUAC
rnacentral:rRNA from 1 species